rnacentral:tRNA from 1 species
GGGCGGUUAGCUCAGAUGGCUAGAGCGCUCGCUUCACACGCGAGAGGUCGGAGGUUCAAGUCCUCUACCGCCCA